AACUACAACCAUGCCACCUCGAAUGUGCCCGAUCUCAUCUGAUCUCGGAAGAAAGAUGGCUGUGGGAUUUUUGUGCCCAGACUGCCUUCCUGUCUCGGGACACCUCACUUCUUUGCUAAAACUGCUGUAUCUC
rnacentral:rRNA from 1 species